CUCUCUCUCCGGUCCGUGCCUCCAAGAUGACAAAGAAAAGAAGGAACAAUGGUCGUGCCAAAAAGGGCCGCGGCCACGUGCAGCCUAUUCGCUGCACUAACUGUGCCCGAUGCGUGCCCAAGGACAACGCCAUUAAGAAAUUCGUCAUUCGAAACAUAGUGGAGGCCGCAGCAGUCAGGGACAUUUCUGAAGCGAGCGUCUUCGAUGCCUAUGUGCUUCCCAAGCUGUAUGUGAAGCUACAUUACUGUGUGAGUUGUGCAAUUCACAGCAAAGUAGUCAGGAAUCGAUCUCGUGAAGCCCGCAAGGACCGAACACCCCCACCCCGGA
rnacentral:lncRNA from 1 species